rnacentral:rRNA from 1 species
UGGGGAAUAUUGCACAAUGGGCGCAAGCCUGAUGCAGCCAUGCCGCGUGUGUGAAGAAGGCCUUCGGGUUGUAAAGCACUUUCAGCGAGGAGGAAGGUGGUGGACUUAAUACGUUCAUCAAUUGACGUUACUCGCAGAAGAAGCACCGGCUAACUCCGUGCCAGCAGCCGCGGUAAUACGGAGGGUGCAAGCGUUAAUCGGAAUUACUGGGCGUAAAGCGCACGCAGGCGGUUUGUUAAGUCAGAUGUGAAAUCCCCGGGCUCAACCUGGGAACUGCAUUUGAAACUAGCAAGCUAGAGUCUCGUAAGGGGGGUAGAAUUCCAGGUGUAGCGGUGAAAUGCGUAGAGAUCUGGAGGAAUACCGGUGGCGAAGGCGGCCCCCUGGACGAAGACUGACGCUCAGGUGCGAAAGCGUGGGGAGCAAACAGAUUAGAUACCCUGGUAGUCCACGCUGUAAACGAUGUCGAUUUUGGAGGUUGUGCCCC